rnacentral:rRNA from 1 species
CGGACGGGUGAGUAAUGUCUGGGAAACUGCCUGAUGGAGGGGGAUAACUACUGGAAACGGUAGCUAAUACCGCAUAACGUCGCAAGACCUAAAGAGGGGGACCUUCGGGCCUCUUGCCAUCGGAUGUGCCCAGAUGGGAUUAGCUAGUAGGUGGGGUAACGGCUCACCUAGGCGACGAUCCCUAGCUGGUCUGAGAGGAUGACCAGCCACACUGGAACUGAGACACGGUCCAG